UUCUAUAAGAGAGCAGGCUAAGAAAG
rnacentral:misc_RNA from 1 species